rnacentral:lncRNA from 1 species
UUAUAACCAUUUUAGAAUAUAUUUGGUUACGAAUCCAACCAUAUAAAUUUUGCAUUAUAAAAAUAAAAAAUUAAUAGUCAAAUUAUUGGUCAAAAAUUGGAAAGUUUGAAUCUUGAUAUGCGUGCGCACCUUAUAGAUAAAAACGGAGGGAGUACAGUCUUGUCUACGGUUCCUAUUGAGCUAUGAACCCACUUAUAUGCUCAUCGAGCUAUGUUUCUUUGUUAAUUUUCUGUUGUUUAUGAAAUUUCUGCAAUUUCAUAUAUUUCCGACAUCUCAAUUUAUUGAAUAUGAUAUUUAGUUUUUAAUAAAAGAUAUACAAAUGAGAGUGGUGCCGGAGUUCAAGUUGACUCCACACAAAACAUGCACACUAUCUAAUACUUGUUUCGUCCGUCCUCGCUACAGUUCCUUUGUGUGUCCGCAGAUAUCAUAUUCCUGUCUCUAGGUUAGCACUGUGAUGGGUACUAUUCUAGUGCUAAUAAUUAUCGAUACAAGUUUGUACUGAAAGUUUAGCAAGCUCCUAUAAAAUGUUCUAUUCUUCUGCAAAUGCUAUACAUUAUAUGACAUGUAUGACUAUUAAAGGAACUUUUCUAAGAUGAAAAAUUCAAAUUUGUUAUGUGGUAUAUAUAGGCUGAAGGGCCACUUUCAGUUUUAUACAAAAUUGAAAUAACUCAUGCAGAAACCAAGUAGUUAGAACCCUUUACUAUCUCCGCUAAUCUUCACAUUUGUAAUAAAGAAUAAAAUAUACCAGCAUCGGCUUAGUAAUGUUUGUUUCUUAACCCUCCA